CGGAGGGUGCAAGCGUUGUCCGGAUUUAUUGGGUUUAAAGGGUGCGUAGGUGGUUUUCUAAGUCUGGUUUGAAAGCUGGUCGCUUAACGAUCAGAUGUGGCUGGAAACUGGAGGACUUGAAUGCGUUGGCGGUAGCCGGAAUGGGUCAUGUAGCGGUGAAAUGCAUAGAUAUGACCCGGAACACCGAUUGCGAAGGCAGGCUACUACGACGUGAUUGACACUGAGGCACGAGAGCAUGGGUAGCGAACAGGAUUAGAUACCCUGGUAGUCCAUGCCGUAAACGAUGAUUACUGGCUGUUUGUGCGAUAGCAUGAGUGGCUGAGCGAAAGCGUUAAGUAAUCCACCCGGGGAGUACGCUGGCAACAGUG
rnacentral:rRNA from 1 species